GGUUUCUAUCUCUGAGAAGAGGAGAUAAAGUCAUUGAUUGUCAAAGAGAAGACCAUUUGGACUGAUUCCCCUCUACAGAGACAGCUGCUCCAUUUUCUCUUCAUUUCUGCAUAAGGGCAUUUUAAUCUGGGAGGUGAUAUCCUCACUCUGUCAAUUGGCUAUUGCUGGUUUUUCAGGGUGACGAUUUGUCUGGGAUCUCAAUUCUCUGGUGGAUCUAAGAAGAGCUGUAGAUUUUCUGUUCACUGAGUUUUUACUUGUGGCGAGGACAGAAGUGAUGACCCCCAAGCUCUUUACAAGUGACAGAAGAAACCGCCUCUCCUUCACUUUUAAAUCAGCUCUGGUAGACUUUCUUGGGCCUACAUUC